UCACCGAAGCAGCCAAAAAGCAACUUCGAAACUAUGAUAUGCAGCCUACAACAAAGCCUUACGGAAUUUACAUAUAUCAUUUAUGCGCACAACUGUGCAAGAUUUAAUGCGAAACCAAAAUCAAUUCGCUCGCUCUCGAAGUCGCAGUCGGACGUGUUUUUUUUCUUCCCUCUUAAACUUUGUGAUUUUUCAUUAAAUUUCAUAUUUAUUUACAAUUAAUAUAACAUUAAUUUUACUCUCUCACUUGUGUUUAACUACAGAUCAUUAAAUCGUUGUGUGCUUUCUUGUAUUUAGUAUAUUAUUAUCAUUUUUCUGAAAAUAUAACAACAAAUUGUGUGGUCAAACUUAGCUUUGCUUUGUUAGCAAAACAAUUCUGUUUUCGUUGCCGCUGCACUUUGUUUUUGUAUUUUUGUUUACUUUCGCGCUCUUCUUUUUUCACUUGCUAUUCUUUGCGCUCAACGCUGUUACAAUAGUUAACUCUCCCUCUCUUGGUGUUGUUGUUGGCUUUCGUCUAUCUUGCGUCUCGCUCGACCCGCGCUUUACUCUCAGUGCUUGUGCUUUGUGCUCUCAACGCUCUUUAGAAUAGUAACUCUCCCUCUCUUGGUGUUGUAGUUGCCUAUCUAUCUUGCGUCUCGCUCGACCUGUGUUUUGUGCUCUUCCAAUAUGUUGGUCUGCUAUAACAAGAACAAGAUUUUGAUUAAAGCUUCAUUAUUGGAUCCGCGCUUCAAAAAAAUGUAUGUACAUUCCUCCCACAAUGGUGUUGGAAGCCUCAAAGGACAUUCUGGAGGAGAUGCAACUUAAUAGCGAAGGAAAGAGACGCUCGUUAAACUUGCAACCGCCGGAAGAAUUAGAUAUAACAAAUUUCAACCGCCAAAAAGUUUUUUUGAGGCUCACAAUAGAAGCAUUCAGCAAACGAAAAGCUCGGACAGCCCCUCUGAAAAGGAGUUUAACUUAUAUAUUUCAUUGCCAAACUCCAAUUGGGAAGCUGACCCAAUAGAAUUCUGGACUUCCCAACAGCAGACAAUGCCACACAUUUCAAAGUUGGCACUACGUUACCUGAUAACACCAGGUAACUCAGUAUCCUCAGAAAGGAUGGCUUCGGCUAUCAAAUGUGUAGUGUGUGACUCACGCAGCCGUAUGACUGAUCGACAUGUAACACAGCUUGUAUUUUUAAAAUCAGUGGUCAAAUAAUACUGGAAAUAAAUUUAAGUUUAU